rnacentral:pre_miRNA from 1 species
AAGGUAUUCCCUCCGUCCGAAAAAGCUUGUCCCAAGCUUGUCCCUCAAAUGGAUGUAUUUAGCACUAACUUGGUGCUAGAUACAUCCAUUUGAGGGACAAGCUUUUUCGAACGGAGGGAGUAUUAG